AUAGAAAAGAAAAAAAAAAUAUAUUGAAAACCUGAAAAGGGAGAUUUUUCAAUCGUGGCAGUAGAUAGAACGGUUAUUGGUUCUUCCAUUUGGCACCCUAUAAAUACCCCAUUUCCUCCUCACAUCAAUUAACCACAACCAUCACCUGAACUCUCAUCUCAAACCUAACUUUUCUGUUGAUAAUAAUCACAGCUUACUAAUUAAGAUGAUGGUGCCGGCAAUGAAGAAGCAAGAAGAA